GACGGAGGAUGCAAGCGUUAUCCGGAAUGAUUGGGCGUAAAGCGUCCGCAGGUGGCAGUUCAAGUCUGCUGUCAAAGACCGGGGCUUAACUUUGGAAAGGCAGUGGAAACUGAACAGCUAGAGUAUGGUAGGGGCAGAGGGAAUUCCUGGUGUAGCGGUGAAAUGCGUAGAGAUCAGGAAGAACAUCGGUGGCGAAGGCGCUCUGCUGGACCAUAACUGACACUCAGGGACGAAAGCUAGGGGAGCGAAUGGG
rnacentral:rRNA from 1 species